rnacentral:rRNA from 1 species
CGAACGCUGGCGGCAGGCUUAACACAUGCAAGUCGAACGGGCGUAGCAAUACGUCAGUGGCAGACGGGUGAGUAACACGUGGGAACCUUCCUAGGGGUACGGAACAACUCAGGGAAACUUGAGCUAAUACCGUAUACGUCCGUGAGGAGAAAGAUUUAUCGCCCUUAGACGGGCCCGCGUCGGAUUAGCUAGUUGGUGGGGUAACGGCCUACCAAGGCGACGAUCCGUAGCUGAUCUUAGAGGAUGAUCAGCCACACUGGGACUGAGACACGGCCCAGACUCCUACGGGAGGCAGCAGUGGGGAAUUUUCCGCAAUGGGGCGAAAGCCGUAGACGGAGCAACGCCGCGUGAGGGAUGAAGGCCUCUGGGGCUGUAAACCUCUUUUCUCAAGGAGAAGAUCUGACGGUACUUGAGGAAUAAGACCACGGCGUAAUCCGUGCCAGCA